rnacentral:rRNA from 1 species
GUCCACGCUGUAAACGAUGAGAGCUAGUUGUCGGCACGCAUGCGUGUCGGUGACGCAGCUAACGCAUUAAGCUCUCCGCCUGGGGAGUACGGCCGCAAGGUUAAAACUCAAAGAAAUUGACGGGGGCCCGCACAAGCGGUGGAGCAUGUGGUUUAAUUCGAAGCAACGCGAAGAACCUUACCCACGUUUUACAUGUCUAGUUUGAUCGGCAGAGAUGCCUUUCUUCAGUUCGGCUGGCUAGAACACAGGUGCUGCAUGGCUGUCGU